UAUUCUUUUGUCCUCUUUUCUAUUCAUAGGCCAAAAUGGAUUCUGUACUGAAAAUCUAUCCCAGGCAAAGAAAUUUUCUAGGAAAAGUUGGAAAAAUUCAAUUUUUCGCUUCAGAUUGAAAUCGAAUAAGGUUUGAUUCAAUUAAUCGAAAAGAUGAAAUUUAAAAGGUAUGCUGAAUUAUAUGCGGCCAGUGAAGAAAUUUAAAGAAGCACAUUUUGGUAGCAAAUGGACAAAUUAUGAAGUUUAAAAAGUAAAUUGAAGUUGCAAUUGUCGACCCAUCAAAGUGAACAACAGCAUGCAAAGUGAUCAAACAACGUAUUUCUUUUAAGUUAUAGUGAUUGAAUGAUAUACUAAUAGAUAAAUAUUUCCAUAUAACAAUUUCUAUGUAUUGAAUAAAUUCACAGUUUUGAAACAAAU